rnacentral:rRNA from 1 species
UACGUAGGGUGCAAGCGUUAUCCGGAUUUAUUGGGCGUAAAGGGCUCGUAGGCGGUUCGUCGCGUCCGGUGUGAAAGUCCAUCGCUUAACGGUGGAUCCGCGCCGGGUACGGGCGGGCUUGAGUGCGGUAGGGGAGACUGGAAUUCCCGGUGUAACGGUGGAAUGUGUAGUUAUCGGGAAGAACACCAAUGGCGAAGGCAGGUCUCUGGGCCGUUACUGACGCUGAGGAGCGAAAGCGUGGGGAGCGAACAGG